rnacentral:rRNA from 1 species
AGAGUUUGAUCCUGGCUCAGAAUGAACGUGGGCGGCGUGGAUUAGGCAUGCAAGUCGAACGGGCUGGUUUUCGGAUCAGGUCAGUGGCGCAAGGGUGGGUAAGGCGACGGCAACCAACCCCAUGGUUGGGCAUGGCCGCGGGAAACUGCGGGUAAUUCCCAGCGAAGUUCAGUUCGGGCAUCCGAGUUGAACCAAAGUUCCGACGCCGUGGGACGGGCCGUCGUGGUAUUAGGUAGUUGGCGGGGUAACGGCCCACCAAGCCUAUGAUGCCUACCGGGCGUGCGAGCGUGGCCCGGCACACUGGGACUGAGACACUGCCCAGACUCCUACGGGAGGCUGCAGUCGAGAAUCUUCGGCAAUGGGCGCAAGCCUGACCGAGCGACGCCGCGUGGAGGAUGA